rnacentral:rRNA from 1 species
GUUAGGAAUAUUGGACAAUGGGCGAAAGCCUGAUCCAGCCAUGCCGCGUGAACGAUGAAGGCCUUCGGGUUGUAAAGUUCUUUAGCCGAUGAUUAUAAUGACUGUAGUCGGAAAAUAAGCCCCGGCUAACUUCGUGCCAGCAGCCGCGGUAAUACGAAGGGGGCGAGCGUUAUUCGGAAUCACUGGGCGUAAAGCGUGCGUAGGCGGUUGUGUAAGUUAGGAGUGAAAGCCCAGGGCUCAACCUUGGAAUUGCUCUUAAAACUGCAAGGCUCGAAUCUCGGAGAGGAUAGCGGAAUUUCCAGUGUAGCAGUGAAAUGCGUAGAUAUUGGAAGGAACACCAGUGGCGUAAGCGGCUAUCUGGACGAGUAUUGACGCUGAGGCACGAAAGCGUGGGGAUCAAACAGGAUUAGAUACCCGAGUAGUCC